rnacentral:rRNA from 1 species
CAAAUGAAUUGACGGGGCCGCACAAGCGGUGGAGCAUGUGGUUAAUUCGAAGCAACGCGAAGAACCUUACCAGGUCUUGACAUCCCCUGACAACCCAAGAGAUUGGGCGUUCCCCUUCGGGGGACAGGGUGACAGGUGGUGCAUGGUUGUCGUCAGCUCGUGUCGUGAGAUGUUGGGUUAAGUCCCGCAACGAGCGCAACCCUCGCCUCUAGUUGCCAGCAUUCGGUUGGGCACUCUAGAGGGACUGCCGGCGACAAGUCGGAGGAAGGUGGGAUGACGUCAAAUCAUCAUGCCCCUUAUGACCUGGGCUACACACGUGCUACAAUGGGCGGUACAAAGGGCUGCGAACCCGCGAGGGGGAGCGAAUCCCAAAAAGCCGCUCUCAGUUCGGAUUGCAGGCUGCAACUCGCCUGCAUGAAGCCGGAAUCGCUAGUAAUCGCGGAUCAGCAUGCCGCGGUGAAUACGUUCCCGGGCCUU